rnacentral:lncRNA from 1 species
AUACACCAAUUAUCUUGUAGCAAACAACUCCGAAACAGAAAUAAACACCCAGAUUUACAAAUACAACAUCAUAUUUUCACAGAAUAUUUCUCAGGUUUCUCCCCUUACUUCCUACUUUCAAAAUAAACCCUUCCUCUCUUGUUUUCUCCCGGUAUAGAAAUCAAGAACUCUCAUAGUUUCUCUCUUUGAAACCCUACGUAGCUCAUUCAGAUAAAACAUAAAGAACAUACAUACAUAACAACAACCAACCCAUACAACUAUGCUCAACACUCCAAGCAACCACACAAAAUUUCAGGUUAGUCCGCUUACCUGGUUUUCUAGAGAGUUACUAAUGGUCCUUUGGUUCCUAGUAAGGCCUAAAGGUAUUCUUUCUCUGGUGAUAGCAACCAGGACCUCCCGCUUCUCUUCCCUUCCCACACUCUUUAGUCUUCCUCGUAUUUAACCUAAAAGAAUAUCAGAAAACCUCCACCCACCACAUUCAAAAUUGGCCCGAAAAAGACUCCCAAUACUUUAAAUAUAUUUGAUCUAUUAACAUACCCAAAUUUCCCUUGUUUGAAAUAAAGAAUGAAGGGAAAAAAUAUAUCUCUCUGGAAGUAUAAAAGAAUCUACGGUCCUGCAACGAACUAACCUUGGCCUUCCCCCACUUGUCACAAUCCU